UACGGAGGGGGCUAGCGUUGUUCGGAAUUACUGGGCGUAAAGCGCGCGUAGGCGGCUUUGUAAGUUAGAGGUGAAAGCCCGGAGCUUAACUCCGGAACUGCCUUUAAGACUGCAUCGCUAGAAUCGUGGAGAGGUGAGUGGAAUUCCGAGUGUAGAGGUGAAAUUCGUAGAUAUUAGGAAGAACACCAGUGGCGAAGGCGGCUCACUGGUCCGGUACUGACGCUGAGGUGCGAAAGCCAGGGGAGCAAACGGG
rnacentral:rRNA from 1 species